CUCAGGCUCCUACGUUUUGCUUUGAAUUUGCUUCCAAGACCGAUGGAAUGACUUAAAAGGAAAAAGGUCACAAUUACUAGAAAGAACCUAAAAGGACAGGCGACGAUGCAGUACAAGGCCAGAGGAAAACAAACAGCUACUGGCUUGAGAGUUGUCGAGUGGGUGUUGUUGACCGAAGGGGACUGAGGCGUAGCAUUGGCCCUAGGUGUCCCAAAUGAGAUUAUUUGAAACCAGAAGCAGAUGUCUUCAUCAAACACGAAGUGCUAAAGAUUUCAGCAAAAACAGACGGAGUUUUCCUUGGGUAAAGAUCUCAGAAACAAGCCCAUCUUUCCAAGAACCGGAAUUGCAAGAAUCCAGGAUGGGUUACCUGGCUCCUUUGGCUAACGUAUCACAACAGGCUGCAGGCAUCUCAGGGUUCCACGAGGAAGGAUCAACCUCCAAGCCUACUCAGUCAACCACGAAUACCGGUGCAGGCCAAGGAACCCGGAGUCUCACGUGCGACGGAAAUAGGCAGCUGUACACAUUUCCGCAGGAAAACAUUGAAAGCAAAAAUUGUGAUCACACCCAAUCUUUUCCUCUGUACCCUGCCCAAAGUCGCCCACGUCCCCAAAAGGAAGAGAACAGUAGGUCAAAUAAGUUUGUUUAUUCCUUUGUUCAGCUAACAUUUCUCUUAAGGGGUCUUUGUUUCCAGCAAGGGAAGGGCUCCUGCCUUUCCGGCCGGG
ensembl:lncRNA